rnacentral:lncRNA from 1 species
GUUAAGACUAUGCAAAAUUUAAUAAGUGUAAAUUUGUUUACACUUUCAAUAUUGUGUGUUGCUUCUCUUAAAUGAGAUAAAAACCCAAGGAUGCAAAAAACUUAAUAUAAAAUAGUGUGAAGAAGAAGUAGUAACUGAAAUGAACAGCAUAAUAGAAUUUGAUAAGUUUGACUCAGCACUUGACAAUGUUUCAUCUAGUAACUCUGUAGUAUCUCUGCAGUUGUAAAUUGCUAAAUACUGAUUUGACAGAUUUUUCUUUUUUUUUUAAUUUUCUUUACAAUAUAUAAUUUUUACUACUUAAUUAGGAAUUGUCAGAUUUCCAUUAUUUCUUUCUAUUAGAAACAAAGAGUUCAAAAUAUUGGUGGUAAGAACUGUCAAAAACUUGUGAUAGCUAUGAUGAAGAGUUUUAUGACAAAUUCACUCAUGGCCAAAUCUAAUAUGGCAGCUGGAAAAGGCAAAGAAUCUUUUUAGUCUAACCAAGCUAUACAACUUAAUAAAAGUUUGUGCAUCGACUUCUCACGAAUUAUACACAGAGUCGAUUGUCGAUGCAAUAAUUGCUGAUUCGUGAAAUCCAACAGAUAUCAUCGUUAUAAUAUUACUUUGUUUGUAAAUUGUUUUAAAAAAUAAAUUUAAAAAUAACUUUUAAA